AACGAACGCUGGCGGCAUGCCUAACACAUGCAAGUCGAACGAGAUCUUCGGGUCUAGUGGCGCACGGGUGCGUAACGCGUGGGAAUCUGCCCUUUGGUUCGGAAUAACAGUUGGAAACGACUGCUAAUACCGGAUGAUGACGAAAGUCCAAAGAUUUAUCGCCAGAGGAUGAGCCCGCGUAGGAUUAGCUAGUUGGUGUGGUAAAGGCGCACCAAGGCGACGAUCCUUAGCUGGUCUGAGAGAAUGAUCAGCCACACUGGGACUGAGACACGGCCCAGACUCCUACGGGGGGCAGCAGUGGGGAAUAUUGGACAAUGGGCGAAAGCCUGAUCCAGCAAUGCCGCGUGAGUGAUGAAGGCCUUAGGGUUGUAAAGCUCUUUUACCCGGGAUGAUAAUGACAGCACCGGGAGAAUAAGCUCCGGCUAACUCCGUGCCAGCCGCCGCGGUAA
rnacentral:rRNA from 1 species